CUCAGAACGAACGCUGGCGGCAGGCCUAACACAUGCAAGUCGAACGCUCUCCUCGGAGAGAGUGGCGCACGGGUGAGUAACGCGUGGGAAACUGCCCUGGAGUGGGGGAUAACCGCUGGAAACGGCGGCUAAUACCGCAUACGCCCUACGGGGGAAAGAUUUAUCGCUCCAGGAUGUGCCCGCGUCGGAUUAGGUAGUUGGUGGGGUAACGGCCCACCAAGCCGACGAUCCGUAGCUGGUCUGAGAGGAUGAUCAGCCACACUGGGACUGAGACACGGCCCAGACUCCUACGGGAGGCAGCGGUGGGGAAUAUUGGACAAUGGGCGCAAGUGAUCCAGCCAUGCCGCGUGAGUGAAGAAGGCCUUCGGGUUGUAAAGCUCUUUCAGAAGUGACGAUGAUGACGGUAACUUCAGAAGAAGCCCCGGCUAAUUUCGUGCCAGCAGCCGCGGUAAUACGAAGGGGGCAAGCGUUGUUCAGAAUUACUGGGCGUAAAGCGCGCGUAGGCGGUGUGCAUAGUCAGGGGUGAAAUCCCGGGGCUCAACCUCGGAAUUGCCUUUGAUACUGGCACGCUUGAAUCCGUGAGAGGGUGGUGGAAUGACCAGUGUAGAGGUGAAAUUCGUAGAUAUUGGUCGGGAACACCAGUGGGCGAAGGCGGCCACCUGGGCGCGGUAUUGACGCUGAGGCGCGAAAGCGUGGGGGAGCAAAACAGGAUUAGAUACCCUGGUAGUCCACGCCGUAAACGAUGAGUGCUAGCUGUUGGCCUGCUUGCAGGUCAGUGCGCAGCUAACGCAUUAAGCACUUCGCCUGGGGAGUACGGGCCGCAGGGUU
rnacentral:rRNA from 1 species